rnacentral:rRNA from 1 species
AGAGUUUGAUCAUGGCUCAGGAUGAACGCUAGCUACAGGCUUAACACAUGCAAGUCGAGGGGCAGCAUGUCGGUUGCUUGCAACCGACGAUGGCGACCGGCGCACGGGUGAGUAACGCGUAUCCAACCUACCCUUGUCCAUCGGAUAACCCGUCGAAAGGCGGCCUAACACGAUAUGCGGUUCUCAGCAGGCAUCUAACGAGAACGAAAUGUGAAGGAGAAGGAUGGGGAUGCGUCUGAUUAGCUUGUUGGCGGGGUAACGGCCCACCAAGGCUACGAUCAGUAGGGGUUCUGAGAGGAAGGUCCCCCACAUUGGAACUGAGACACGGUCCAAACUCCUACGGGAGGCAGCAGUGAGGAAUGUUGGUCAAUGGACGGGAGUCUGAACCAGCCAAGUAGCGUGCAGGACGACGGCCCUAUGGGUUGUAGACUGCUUUUAUAGGGGGAUAAAGUGUGCCACGUGUGGCAUAUUGCAGGUACCCUAUGAAUAAGGACCGGCUAAUUCCGUGCCAGCAGCCGCGGUAAUACGGAAGGUCCGGGCGUUAUCCGGAUUUAUUGGGUUUAAAGGGAGCGUAGGCCGUCUUAUAAGCGUGUUGUGAAAUGUCGGGGCUCAACCUGGGCAUUGCAGCGCGAACUGUGAGACUUGAGUGCGCAGGAAGUAGGCGGAAUUCGUCGUGUAGCGGUGAAAUGCUUAGAUAUGACGAAGAACUCCGAUUGCGAAGGCAGCCUGCUGUAGCGCAACUGACGCUGAAGCUCGAAAGCGUGGGUAUCGAACAGGAUUAGAUACCCUGGUAGUCCACGCGGUAAACGAUGGAUGCUCGCUGUUUGCGUCUGACGUAAGCGGCCAAGCGAAAGCGUUAAGCAUCCCACCUGGGGAGUACGCCGGCAACGGUGAAACUCAAAGGAAUUGACGGGGACCCGCACAAGCGGUGGAGCAUGUGGUUUAAUUCGAAGCAACGCGAAGAACCUUACCAAAUCUUGACAUCCCGGUGACAAAGUAUGUAAAGUACUCUUUCUUCGGAACACCGGUGACAGGUGGUGCAUGGUUGUCGUCAGCUCGUGUCGUGAGAUGUUGGGUUAAGUCCCGCAACGAGCGCAACCCCUAUCCUUAGUAGCCAGCAGUAAGAUGGGCACUCUAGGGAGACUGCCGGGGAUAACCCGGAGGAAGGUGGGGAUGACGUCAAAUCAUCAUGCCCCUUAUGAUUUGGGCUACACACGUGCUACAAUGGCGUAAACAAAGGGAAGCGAGCCUGCGAGGGGGAGCAAAUCCCAAAAAUAACGUCUCAGUUCGGAUUGUAGUCUGCAACUCGACUACAUGAAGCUGGAAUCGCUAGUAAUCGCAGAUCAGAAUGCUGCGGUGAAUACGUUCCCGGGUCUUGUACACACCGCCCGUCACACCAUGGGAGUCGGAAAUGCCCGAAGCCGGUGACCUAACCGCGAGGAAGGAGCCGUCGAAGGCAGGUCUGAUAACUGGGG